rnacentral:rRNA from 1 species
UACAGAGGGGGCGAGUGUUGUUCGGAAUUACUGGGCGUAAAGGGCGCGUAGGCGGCCUCUUAAGUCAGACGUGAAAUCCCCCGGCUCAACCGGGGAACUGCGUCUGAGACUGGGAGGCUCGAAUCCGGGAGAGGGAUGUGGAAUUCCAGGUGUAGCGGUGAAAUGCGUAGAUAUCUGGAGGAACACCGGUGGCGAAGGCGGCAUCCUGGACCGGCAUUGACGCUGAUGCGAGAAAGCCAGGGGAGCAAACGGG